UACGUAGGGGGCAAGCGUUGUCCGGAUUUACUGGGCGUAAAGAGCGCGUAGGCGGAAGGUUAAGCGGUGCCUGAAAGCCCCCGGCUCAACCGGGGAAGGUGGUGCCGAACUGGCCUCCUUGAGGGCGACAGGGGAGAGUGGAAUUCCGGGUGUAGCGGUGAAAUGCGUAGAGAUCCGGAGGAACACCAGGGGCGCAGGCGGCUCUCUGGGUCGGCCCUGACGCUGAGGCGCGAAAGCGUGGGGAGCGAACGGG
rnacentral:rRNA from 1 species